AAGCCGCUUUACAUUAGGCAAUUUUAGUGCAAUGCAAGGCUUGUGCUAUGCAAUCUAAAAUUGCCUUGCAUUGCACGGUUAUGCAAUUGUGUUGCAACUUUUGUGCAAGUUCAGAAAAGUGUUGCAGUACUGACAACAUAUUUUUCAAAAAUUGAAACUUUUCAGUUUGUUUACACAGAAGGUUAUUCUUGAAACUUAAUAAAAUUGACCAUUAGGUAUGAGCAAACAAAAGGAAAUUAAGCUGGCUACAGCUUGUUAUGUGGUGGCGCUUGCUAUUAAAAAAAACACACAAAAUAACACACGCGAAACCAAACAAAUUGUGGUAUUGACAAAAUUACUAGAAAAGUUACUAGAACUUGCGCCAAACUUGCAAGUGAAAUAGAACUUUCUCUAUGCGAUGCAGAUAUAACUUUUGCCCACCAAAUUUUGCAGCGAGAAAUUCAAGGGACAAGUUCCAAUGAUGCUGGAUGCUCGAAUGAAGAGGAACCAGUAAAGCAGGUAUCGGAGGACAUUCCUGUGAACGGUAAGCAUAAACACUUAUAGGUCAAAGUGUUGAACUCUGUAUAUAUAUAUUUGUUAAGCCUGCUACACACAUGCAAGCAAGUCGUACAACUUGGCUUGAACAGACCAAAUCGUACAACUUGCAAGUGUGUGUGUAGAGCAAGUCGGAGCUUGAGUUGGGCUAGAAGUUGGGCAUGCGUGAAAUCGGACAAAACCGAUUGCGUACAGUUAAAUCGUACUGCAAGUCGAGACGUGUGUAUGCGAACACGGCAGAAUCGGCGAACUUGAGUAAAACAGAGCGUUCACUGCAACAACAUGGCCGAUCUAAGAAGUCUAUCCCGAGAUUUCCUAACGGAAUUUAUCGAGAUGUACCGGGAAAACCCGUGCCUGUGGCAAAUAAAAAGUAAGGACUACAGUAAUAAACAGAAGAAGAAUGCUGCGUAUGCAAAAUUAGUAAAAAAACUUGAAGAAGUGGAAAAAAAUGCAACCAAAGAAAGCGCCGUGAAGAAAAUUAAUUCGUUGAGGACGUGUUUUCGGAAGGAGUAUCGCAAGGUUUUGGCAUCUGAGAGAUCUGGGGUCGGCACAGAUGAAUUAUAUAUACCAACUUUGUGGUAUUAUGAAUUACUUACGUUUUUGUUGGAACAGGAAGAACCUAAACCUUCAAGAAGUACAAUUUCUGAUGAUGAGGGUGAUGAUGUGCAGGAGGAACAAAACACACAAUCACUUGGUCCGGAAGCGGAAACGCAACAGUCGAAUGAAGAGACAAAUGAAACGCAACGUUCCGAUUAUGAAAGUGACCCACUAUCCCCUACUGUGGAUAGAUCAAGAACUCCAUCAUCUACGACAGUAGUGGCUCACCGUUCUAGAUCAGGAUCUAGGGCACCAUCUUCUAAUGGAGGAAAAAGAAUGAAGAAGGCAGACGCCGUGCUGGAUAUUGUAGCUCAAAAGUUGCAAGCACCAAAUCCAAUUAGGGAAUUUGAUAACUUUGCACACCAUGUUGCUGAGCAACUCAGGGAGGUGCCGAAACAACAAGCAAUUUAUCUUACAAAAAUUAUUAACGAUGGUAUCUUUGAAGCCCAGUGUGGAACCCUAACGCGAAACUCUCGCAUUGUGUCUCAACCUGCUGAGUUACCUGCACCUGAAGGGUAUUAUGUUGCUCCUUUAGCCCCAGCCCAAAAUACGCACCAUACACAAAAUAGAGUUAGUCAAGCGAGCAUAUAUCCGGAUCACUGCCAACACCAGGCGCCAAUCUCGGAGGCACUGGCAAACUAUUUUAGCAAUGUCGCACCAUAACAAUGUGUGUUUGAUUCCUAUAACGGUUAUUAUUGCUUUGCAUGUUUCGGGGAUUAUCUGCGACAAUGCUUGGGGUGAUAUAAUUACGGAAAACUUCAAGUCUUCGAAAGUUCGACCUGUUGCUAGAAAUCGCAGCGUUGCAGUUAAUCUUUCGUGAGGAGUAAUUGCAGCUCUCAUUACAGUGUCUUUCUUUCUAAUUAAUGGAGCAACACUACACAGUAAUUCCUCAUAAGUACUACCGGUAUCCAUUCUAAGCAUAUAAGUGGUCCCAUGAGGCAGUCCUUCUUUUAUUAGAAUUAUAUAGAGAAAAAGAAAAUUUAAUUACGUCUGGUAAAAUAAG